GAUGAACGCUGGCGGCGUGCCUAAUACAUGCAAGUCGAGCGAACAGAUAAGGAGCUUGCUCCUUUGACGUUAGCGGCGGACGGGUGAGUAACACGUGGGUAACCUACCUAUAAGACUGGAAUAACUCCGGGAAACCGGGGCUAAUGCCGGAUAACAUUUAGAACCGCAUGGUUCUAAAGUGAAAGAUGGUUUUGCUAUCACUUAUAGAUGGACCCGCGCCGUAUUAGCUAGUUGGUAAGGUAACGGCUUACCAAGGCAACGAUACGUAGCCGACCUGAGAGGGUGGACGGCCAAACUGGAACUGAGAAACGGUCCAGACUCCUAAGGGAGGCAGCAGUAGGGAAUCUUCCGCAAUGGGCGAAAGCCUGACGGAGCAACGCCGCGUGAGUGAUGAAGGUCUUCGGAUCGUAAAACUCUGUUAUUAGGGAAGAACAAAUGUGUAAGUAACUGUGCACGUCUUGACGGUACCUAAUCAGAAAGCCACGGCUAACUACGUG
rnacentral:rRNA from 1 species